CGUCACAGAGCGUCUGAACCCAGCAGCUCAGUUUGAUGGGUGGUUUUGGACAUCGAUUAGCAGGCCUGGAACAUGUAAUGUUUGAUGCCAGCACGCCAGUUUGAUCCUCACAGCUCUCUGUAUCAGGCAUCACCAUGGCAGCACAGUGAGUACAACACUAAUCUCCGUUAAAUACUUUAGUUAAUAAAAUAUGACACUGAGGCCAAAAUGAAGUGUCAUUUAAGCCCUUUUCAGACAACUGAUCUGUAAUAUUUCAGCUUCAUCAUUCCGUUAUUCAGCCUCUUUAAUGUUCCUCAGCUCAGUUCAGACACAACAGUGAUGGAGAAAUGCACUACAGAGACAUGAAAUCUGUCAUUCACACAAGAUUAGACAGUACAGGUCCUAUCUCUCUGUCGGGGAUCACUUCUAAUUGUAAAUAUUUAAUGAAGUUAUGUCAUGUGCAGUUCUUUCUCUUCGGAGAUGUUCAUCAGGAUCCUGCUGUCGGCUGAUGCUGCAGGUGUUUAACACAUUCAGAGGAAAGAUUAGUACAAUCAGCUGAAAGCAACAAACUAAACUUUAGCUCCUGUUCAUGUUGGUAAAGACAUUAAUUUUGCUGAGUUUCAUUGCCUAGAGCAGUUGGUGUUUGUUUUUAUCACAGUAAAAUUUAAUUAUUCUGAACGUUGUUCAUCACUUUCAUGAAACCCAGACAGCUCUAAUCACUCUGGGGGCCUUGGGUACAACAGACUCUUCCCUCAUAAGUCAAAGAGCUGCAUGACAAGUUAUGUAAGCAUCACCCCCGUGUAACCCUGAGGUCAAUCAUCCUUCUCCACCUUCACCUGGUUGUCUUGCGCCUUUACUAAAUUCUGUAAGACUCAAGUCAACACAGACUAGCAGGGAUUUUAAAACUGAACAAUCACAUCCUGAAGAGUUGUGUGAAGAUUGUGGCAUAUAGCAACCAUGUUCAGCAGCCAGUUCAGCCUCUUCUUCAUAGUACCGAAGCUUUCAAAGGGGAUGUGCUUUCAGCUUCUCAUGUUUUGAGACUUGCUCCCCAGUUGUCCCUAUUUGCUUCCUGUGUUGCAGCCCCCACCUUUACAUACGUCACCCGAGAUGAUGCCAGACAGUUUGCUCUGCUCAAGAUGGCUCUUGACCAUUUUCAGCUUCAUGAUGAAAGCAAACAGUUCAAACAUCAUUUAUCAUUCGACCAUUAGAAGUUGGAUACAACCUGCCAAAAGACUUUGGCUGAUGCACUUUAUUCCCUGCCUUUCAAUAGAGCUCUGUUAGUCUUAAAGCAGAGGUAUGACCAGUUGCAGCAUCUAGCACGAAGAAAAUCACAGAUAUCCAGAAACUUCCCUUUGUUCGCCAUGGUGAUUCCAGAAACUUUAAAGACUUUGCCAUCUGAGUCUGAGCUUGUGUGGAUUUGCUACAGUCUCUAGAAAUGGUGGAGGAGAUGUGGAGUCGAGUUGUGCAUCUCAUGUACAGUAGCUUCUGGGAAAGCCUUUUUCUAACGACACUAGACUCAGCUGUGCUACAAAACCAGAUGUUCCCUAU